rnacentral:rRNA from 1 species
GACGAACGCUGGCGGCGUGCUUAACACAUGCAAGUCGAACGGAAAGGCCCUGCUUUUGUGGGGUGCUCGAGUGGCGAACGGGUGAGUAACACGUGAGUAACCUGCCCUUGACUUUGGGAUAACUUCAGGAAACUGGGGCUAAUACCGGAUAGGAGCUCCUGCUGCAUGGUGGGGGUUGGAAAGUUUCGGCGGUUGGGGAUGGACUCGCGGCUUAUCAGCUUGUUUGUGGGGUAGUGGCUUACCAAGGCUUUGACGGGUAGCCGGCCUGAGAGGGUGACCGGCCACAUUGGGCCUGAGGUACGGCCCAGACUCCUACGGGCGGCAGCAGUGGGGAAUAUUGCACAAUGGGCGGAAGCCUGAUGCAGCAACGCCGCGUGCGGGAUGACGGCCUUCGGGUUGUAAACCGCUUUCGCCUGUGACGAAGCGUGAGUGACGGUAAUGGGUAAAGAAGCACCGGCUAACUACGUG